ensembl:lncRNA
AGAACAGCAAUAGGAAAGUGAAGGAGCAUCCACGGAUACAUCUCACACUGCUCAAGGACCAGGGUGGCUCACCGCAAUCUAUUCUGACUAGCAGCAGCUCCUUAGUGUCUAAGACAGACAACAUACGAUGCUGAAACAAUAUUCCACCAAAACAUUUGAAAGAACUUCUGGUGGGUCAACUCAUCUAUUUCAUCUUUCAAAUCACAAGAAGCCAAUAUUUUAUCCAUUAAUUCUCUCUGCUGUCAAGAGCUGGAGGAGGAAAAGGCCACAGCAAAGACUACUGCACCAGAGAGGAUGACAGAAAAAACCAUUCCCAUGAUAAUAGAAUGAAGGCAAAACAGAAGCUACGAAAACACCAACUGUUACCAGACUCUCUCUUCAAAAUGCUAUUACUGAAACAUGCUGGCAAGAUCUGAGCUCCAAAAGAUAUCAAUGAGCAAGUUUCUGCUGCCUUUCCUUUCUCUCCACCCACAUUUUUUCCUCUUACACGGUGCCAUUUUGCAACAUUUUGGAGAUUCUUUAUUUUUCUCAUCAUUGAUAUUGUUUGAUACCUGAAGUGCUGAAUAAAUAUGAAUAACUUUGUGCUGGAUCAAAGUGAGUUCAAAUCUGUCCAGUUUACUUGCACAGCCCUGAUAGUGUUCUGUCACACCAGGCGACAGCACAGGUCAACAUAAUGCUACAAAGAUGUGUGUUAUAUCACCAGUGAUAAAAUUCAGAGGAAAAUCUUUUCUAUUGAAAAAAAAUAUUGUUGGGGGCAGUUUGCAAUAUUCUUCCUAUGAUUGUAGUUCAUAACAUGACACAAUCAUUUAUUAUUUCUUUUUCAAAAUGAUUUCAUAGAAUCAUAGAAUCAAAGAAUCAUAGAGUUGGGAGAGACCUCAUGGGCCAUCCAGACCAACCCCCUGCCAAGAAGCAGGAAAUCGCAUUCAAAGCACCCCCGAGAGAUGGCCAUCCAGCCUCUGCUUAAAAGCCUCCAAAGAAGGAGCCUCCACCACAGUCCGGGGCAGAGAGUUUCACUGCUGAACAGCCCUCACAGUCAGGAAGUUCUUCCUGAUGUUCAGGUGGAAUCUCCUGUAUAGUGCCUUUCUUCUAAAGUGGGACCCAAGGCAGCACCCCAAGGCGGUCAAUUUUUAAAAAUUCAUUAUAACAUUUAAAAAUAAAAUUACCACAUAAAAUAACAUUAAACGAUUUUAUACUGCUUAUAUAAUAGGUUUUACAUUAGUAUUAGACAUCAGUAUGAUGCAAAUUACCUUGGAGUUAGUCCCAUGAAAUGUAUAACUUUCUACUGAAUAAUGAUUUAUAAAUUUACCCUGGAAAAAUACUAAAAUAUUUACUAUAAAGUAAUAGUGCUAUCUCAUACAUACAAGUUUCAUCAAAAUUAAGUUCCUUUAAAGAUUUCACUCUCAAAUAAGUGUGAAUAAGAUUGCAGUUAGGCUUUUACCUAAUUUACCACCUGAAAUUUAUUUUAAUUGGUAAAGUUUACGACAGUUAAUCCAGUAAAAAGCAAAACAGAUUGACAGUUCUGACAGUGGUGUCAAAACAAAGAAAAAGAAAAUAGGUGCCUUCUUUCUAUUUUGGUGGCCAUUUCCUAAAGUGAAAGGAACCUACACAACAUCUGUUCUUUAUUUUCUUUAUUAUAGUUCCCCUAUGAAGAUGGAUGUAAAUUGUUUUUCCUUUCACUUUGUACUGAUUGUUUGGGAGAAAUCUGGAGUGUGAAAUACUUUAGGUAAGGAGCAGUGUGCAUGUUGCUUUUAUACUAUCUUCAACUGCUAUUUAAAGUCUAAACCAGAAGUGACAUGAAUUGCAUGCAAGCAAUUAGCAUGCACAUUUUUGGUGAAGUUAAUAGCAUCCACGGGGAAAUGAACAGCCUGGGGACCAUGCGAUGUGAAGCAGGGGAGCUUCGCUGUUUUUUCCCCUGACGUGGACAGCGCUGACAAAUAACCUCUCUCGGGAACUACGUGCAUAUGGCAGAAAGUUAUUCUGGGAAGAAAAGUUGAGCUUCCAUUCUUCAAGUCCCAGAGCUGAUCCUGAAGAAGCCAUUUACAGAACAGAAUCAUGCAUGCUAAUUGCAUAUGUAACAUGCUCAUUUCUAGCUUGGCCCCUAAGUAGGACAUAAAAUCAGAUGAUGAUGAGAACUACCAUUCUUGGACCAUUACACUGGCUGAGAAACUAUUCUUUCUUCCUUCUUUUCAUAUUUGGGAAGGUAUUACAUUCCUGUGUAUUCAAAGCCUCAGUAUCACCAAUCAUUCAGAUUUAGUCAGAGCACAAGUGCAUGAAAGGAAUGUUUUUACUAAGAGUUCCUAACAUAUAUUCAUGUGCCACAAGACACAGCAAGUUGUAAAGAGUUCAAGCAGAUCAGUCCAAUUCCCCCCACUUCCCAAGAGUCCAGUCUUCAUUUCUAAAUUUCUAUAGAUAAAUGUGGGACUUGGGAUCUAGGUCCUCUCAUUAGGUCAUGUCUGACCCAUUCUCUCAUACCAGCCUUUCGUACAAGGCUGUUGUCAGAACAAAGUGGGAAGAAAGGGCUGAAGGAAAAAGUGAAACAGUAAUGUAAUUAAUACAAUAAUUAAAUUAAGUAAAUUCCCCCAUAUGCAUGGUCAUUGGCUUCAUAUGAGGAGUUAUUUAAGAUGUUGAAUCCUAUCUCUGAAAUAUAUUCCAUACUCUAAGGCCCAACUAGGGGCCCC